rnacentral:lncRNA from 1 species
CCCUUUGGGAAUGGUCAGAGAAAGAAGGAGGGUGAUACAAGUGCUGUGUAUACCCAGAGAGGACAAGGUAGGGAUCGUUACUACCAGCACACUACUGCGGUAACAAUUCCUGCUGAUAAUUCACCCGCACAACAUCUACAACAACAACCGCCACAACAACGACAACCAUUUCAACAGAGACCACAGAGGGUCGGGUAUCAGGUGAG